ACAACGGAGAGUUUGAUCCUGGCUCAGGAUGAACGCUGGCGGCGUGCUUAACACAUGCAAGUCGAACGAGCCUUCGGGCUAGUGGCGGACGGGUGAGUAACGCGUGGGAAUCUGCCCUCAGGAGGGGGAUAACGGCCGGAAACGGCCGCUAAUACCCCAUAUGCCGAGAGGUGAAAUGAAUUUCGCCUGAGGAUGAGCCCGCGUCUGAUUAGCUAGUUGGUGGGGUAAUGGCCCACCAAGGCGACGAUCAGUAGCUGGUCUGAGAGGAUGAUCAGCCACACUGGGACUGAGACACGGCCCAGACUCCUACGGGAGGCAGCAGUGGGGAAUUUUCCGCAAUGGGCGAAAGCCUGACGGAGCAACGCCGCGUGAGGGAUGAAGGCCUCUGGGCUGUAAACCUCUUUUCUCAAGGAAGAAGACAUGACGGUACUUGAGGAAUAAGCCACGGCUAAUUCCGUGCCAGCAGCCGCGGUAAUACGGGAGUGGCAAGCGUUAUCCGGAAUUAUUGGGCGUAAAGCGUCCGCAGGCGGCCUUGUAAGUCUGUCGUUAAAGCGUGGAGCUUAACUCCAUUUCAGCGAUGGAAACUACAAGGCUUGAGUGUGGUAGGGGCAGAGGGAAUUCCCGGUGUAGCGGUGAAAUGCGUAGAUAUCGGGAAGAACACCAGUGGCGAAGGCGCUCUGCUGGGCCAUAACUGACGCUCAUGGACGAAAGCCAGGGGAGCGAAAGGGAUUAGAUACCCCUGUAGUCCUGGCCGUAAACGAUGAACACUAGGUGUCGGGGGAAUCGACCCCCUCGGUGUCGUAGCUAACGCGUUAAGUGUUCCGCCUGGGGAGUACGCACGCAAGUGUGAAACUCAAAGGAAUUGACGGGGGCCCGCACAAGCGGUGGAGUAUGUGGUUUAAUUCGAUGCAACGCGAAGAACCUUACCAGGGUUUGACAUCCUGCGAAUCCCUUGGAAACGAGGGAGUGCCUUCGGGAGCGCAGAGACAGGUGGUGCAUGGCUGUCGUCAGCUCGUGUCGUGAGAUGUUGGGUUAAGUCCCGCAACGAGCGCAACCCACGUCUUUAGUUGCCAGCAUUCAGUUGGGCACUCUAGAGAGACCGCCGGUGAUAAACCGGAGGAAGGUGUGGAUGACGUCAAGUCAUCAUGCCCCUUACAUCCUGGGCUACACACGUACUACAAUGCUACGGACAAAGGGUUGCAAGCUCGCGAGAGUUAGCUAAUCCCAUAAACCGUGGCUCAGUUCAGAUCGUAGGCUGCAACUCGCCUACGUGAAGGAGGAAUCGCUAGUAAUCGCAGGUCAGCAUACUGCGGUGAAUACGUUCCCGGGCCUUGUACACACCGCCCGUCACACCAUGGAAGUUGGCCAUGCCCGAAGUCGUUACUCCAACCCUUGUGGAGGAGGACGCCGAAGGUGGGGCUGAUGACUGGGGUGAAGUCGUAACAAGGUAGCCGUACCGGAAGGUGCGGCUGGAUCACCUCCUAA
rnacentral:rRNA from 1 species